UGGGGAAUAUUGGACAAUGGGGGCAACCCUGAUCCAGCAAUACCGCGUGUGUGAAGAAGGCCUUCGGGUUGUAAAGCACUUUGGGCGGGGAAGAAGUUGCACUGUUUAAGAGAUGGUGCGAUUGACGGUACCCGCAGAACAAGCACCGGCUAACUCUGUGCCAGCAGCCGCGGUAAUACAGAGGGUGCAAGCGUUAAUCGGAGUUACUGGGCGUAAAGGGCGCGUAGGCGGUACAGUAAGCGGGAUGUGAAAUCCCCGGGCUUAACCUGGGAACUGCAUCCUGAACUGCUGUGCUGGAGUACUGUAGAGGAUAGUGGAAUUUCCGGUGUAGCGGUGAAAUGCGUAGAGAUCGGAAGGAACACCAGUGGCGAAGGCGACUGUCUGGACAGAUACUGACGCUGAGGCGCGAAAGCGUGGGGAGCAAACAGG
rnacentral:rRNA from 1 species